CCAGGACAGAUUUGCCCCCCUGACUGUUGAUUUCUGUUUUUAGCAGCUGCUAAAAACAGCAGCCCCCUCAGAGAACAGAGUUGCAUAAUCAGCACGUCAGCAUUGUUCCUCUCAUAGUAACAAGUGAUGCUGACGGCAGGGAGGCAGACGAGAGGAAGAGGAAGAGCAGCAGAACAAAAAGCAACGGGGGGGGGGGUCACUUUGUGAUGAGGUUACAUCACAGCCCCCUCCAAGAGAAAGUCAGGAAGUUUUGUUAAAGCAGAUGCAGCUUUGUCCUUUAGUACAUAAGGAAUGAGCGGCCCGGCCGCUGCAAUGAACUGCUGAUCUGCUGCCGCUCUGACUCUGCCUGUGGUCCCAAGUGGAGGGUUCGAACGCUGGAACAAGGUUUGCUUCAGGGCGGACCUCAGACUGGGAACCUGCAUGUCUUUGUCGUCAUGGCAGCAGAUGGACACAUGCUGAACGGACGACAGUCCAUCAUCUGCGUCUACAAUGACCACAGGCACCAAAAAUGCAAUCCACAAGAAGCGGAUCAGACCCAAACCGGAGGAUGAGGUUGGACACCAAAACAAAGAGGAGAAGAAAAGAUGGUGGACCUGAUGGAAGACGACAAACAGGAUGCAGACUGAUGGAGUCAGAAAUCCUUCAGCAUCUGAUGAAGAAGAGUCUUUGAGAUGAAGACCAACAUGUUUCAGUGAUUUCCCUUCCUUCAGACCUGCAACCAGCCGCCAUGAGAUGAUGAAGUGCAGCGGGAGCCUGUUCAUCUGCAGUCGGAGCUUCCAGAUGAUAUGACCAGAACAGAUGCAUGUCAUGAAUCAAAGGUCCAGAACCACCCGGCUCGCUGAUGCGUUCCGCAGGCGCUCGGCCUGCUGGAAGCUCCUGGCAGGGGAACGUCCUCACAGCCCGGACCACACCGCGGCGGCGGCCUCGCCUGAACCCAGCUCGUGAACGCAUCGACCCCACCUGAGACCAAACGGAGCGGCGAGCCAAAACAUAUCAAAGCAUAACUUGAGGCUGGCCCAGCUCAAAUUGGAAAAGCAUGAAGGCCUGAAAGAAGGAUCACACAUGUUUCAGAUUGAACCGUCGAUUCUCCAAAGGCGUCAGAACCUCCUUCACCGUCAUGCGACUGAACUCGGGUCCUGAAUGAGACGGGGAUCUGAUCUCCUCAUCCAGGUCAAAUCUGCCUGGUCUACCUGUCACCUGCUUUCACCUUCAGCUCAGCUGCUCCUCGUUUGGCUGACGACCUCCAGGCUACUUAAGUCUGUUUCUCAGAGGCCGUCUGGUUCUUGUCUGCUGUGAUUCUGUCUUGAAGUCCCUCCUGCUGCCUUAUUGUUUGGUUCUUUGUGUCACUGGAACCUGGGCCGUUCAGGUUUUACUUUAUGGGUUUGAUUUAGUCAACAAAAUGAGGAUUUUGAACCUGAAUGAAGCAAAACGACUUCAACCUAAGUCCAUCAGACACUGGAAUCCAUUAAAAAGGUUUAGAAAAUUUCAUGACGAUGUGGAUGAUGCUGCUUAAAUAUGACUGAACCACAGAAAUGUCAAACUUGUUAAAGUUCAUCCUGUCUUUAAGGUUUUCCUGUGAUCAAAAACAUUUAAAAUAUAGCGAUUUUACAGCAACUUGAUCAAAAAUAUUUCUAGAGGAUUCACAGAAAUACUUGUACCCGUUAAAAAUCAGCUGUUUUUUGGGUUAUUCAUAUUUUUGCAUGCAAAAGUUCAGUUUUUGCAGUAAUGACUGUAGUGAUGAAGAGUUUCUGAAUAAUUCCCUUUAGUCUGACCCCAAACUGGACGACCAGAGACCACGGAACGCUUCCUAAAACUGUGAAUAUAUAUAGACGGCUGAAGUAACAAAUCCAAAAUAAAAACAAAAUAUUUGGCCCAACAGCCUGACCGAGUUCACAGAAAAUUCAAUUUUCAAUUCAAUUCAAUUUUAUUUAUAAAGCCCAAAUUCACAACGGUGGUCUCAAUGGGCUUCGGAUCGGUAAUUGGAAAAGGAUUCACAUCUGUUUUUAAAACAUAAAAUAUACACAUUUUCUCUUAUGUCCAUAAAAUUUGUGAAGAAACACAAAUACGGAGCAGAAUUUUGCCAAUCUGAAACCAAAUAAUACAGAAAAACAUGAAAGUGUGAACUUUUCUUCCUGAAGUCUGAACAGAAUCACUAGAGUCUCUGGAUUUCUCUGCAUCGCGUCUCCAGUCUGCUCCCUUCAAUCUGUCAUAAGGUUUUAAAUAUCUGUUUAUUAAUGUCUUAGUUUAUACGGAUGUCAGAUAAUGAGAAUGUAGUUUAAUUAAAGUCUCAGAUUAUGAAGAUCUACGAUUUUAGUCAUUUCUGUUCAAAAGAUCCCAGAUUAAGACAAUCUCAGAUUUUAAAAAUCUCAUUGUCUCUUUUUUUUAUUUAUUUAUUU